rnacentral:rRNA from 1 species
UACGGAGGGUGCGAGCGUUGUCCGGAAUCACUGGGCGUAAAGGGCGCGUAGGCGGCCUGAUAAGUAGGGGGUGAAAUCCUGCGGCUUAACCGCAGGGCUGCCUUCUAAACUGUCAGGCUUGAGCACAGUAGAGGCAGGUGGAAUUCCCGGUGUAGCGGUGGAAUGCGUAGAGAUCGGGAAGAACAUCAGUGGCGAAGGCGGGUCUCUGGGCAAUUCCUGACGCUGAGGCGCGAAAGCGUGGGGAGCAAACGGG